rnacentral:rRNA from 1 species
AAUAACAUCAUACGAAGGAAGA